ACCCCACUAUGCUCAGCCGUAAACCUAACUUACAAGAAAAACGCCAGGAUACUACAAGCCGCCGCUUAAAAUCCAAAGGACUUGACGGUGUCCCACCCACCUAGAGGAGCCUGUCAUAUAAUCGACUCUACCCGCUACACCCAACCAUUUCUAGCCAAUCAGUCUGUAUACCUCCGUCGAAAGCUUACCAUGUGAACGAAUCGCAGUUGGCCUAAUGUCCUGUUUCGUCAAUAUGUCAGGUCAAGGUGCAGCCCAUGAAAUGGUAAAAGAUGGGCUACAAUUUCUAAGAUAGAACAUACGAAAACCUGCAUGAAAACCCAGAAAUGAAGGCGGAUUUAGAAGUAAAAAGAAAUUAGAGAGUUCUUUUUAAUAAGGCGCUGGGACGUGUACACACCG
rnacentral:rRNA from 1 species